GACGAACGCUGGCGGCGUGCUUAACACAUGCAAGUCGAACGGAAAGGCCCAGCUUGCUGGGUGCUCGAGUGGCGAACGGGUGAGUAACACGUGGGUGAUCUGCCCCUAACUUCGGGAUAAGCUUGGUAAACUGGGUCUAAUACCGGACAGGACAAUCGUUUAGUGUCGGUUGUGGAAAGUUUUUUCGGUUAGGGAUGAGCCGGCGGCCUAUCAGCUUGUUGGUUGGGUAAUGGCCUACCAAGUCGUCGACGGGUAGCCGGCCUGGGAGGGUGGACGGCCACAUUGGGCCUGCGGUACGGCCCAGAAGCCUACGGGAGGCAGCAGUGGGGAAUAUUGCACAAUGGGCGCAAGCCUGAUGCAGCGACGCCGCGUGGGGGAUGACGGCCUUCGGGUUGUAAACCUCUUUCGACAGGGACGAAGCUUUGGUGACGGUACCUGUACAAGAAGCACCGGCUAACUACGUG
rnacentral:rRNA from 1 species